rnacentral:lncRNA from 10 species
CACCCCCUCCCCCAACGCCCACUGGGCACCUGGGAAGGUGUCCUUACAGCUGGCUUCUGCAGGGGAACCUGCCUCUGCACGCUCUGAGGGCACCGGCCCUGCCAGUCCCGAUAGCCACCUGCCCCGGCGGGACUCCAGGGCCCACAGACUGGAGGGAGAAUUCCUGCUUCUCCGCUGUGAGCCCCUCCAAGACUUCAGACCAGCUCUUGGCCAAAAAGGGAGACUGAGGGUUGGGACAGCGGAGGCCUGAACCAGGGUCCCAAGCCCGGGGCUCACGACUCCUCCUUCAAGGGGCCAUGUGCACCCUGCAGUCACAGAGCCCCCCGUGUAGUGGGGUGGGCACCCUGCUGCACCUCGCACACAGCCGGCUAAGGGUACCAGUGUCCUUGGGGACCUCAGAGACGUUCCAGCUGCCCAGGGCCACACAGCCCGCAAGUGGCAGGGCCAGGACCGAAACCCAGUACCUGCUGGGCCUGCGGAAGUAGGAGAGGGUACAGGAGGGUGGGGCGGCUUCCGGAGAUGGGGUGGGGGCAGGUCGAUACCUGCCCUGGCGGGGGUGAGGGCAGAGGCUGGCAGAGCUGCUUCGCAGGCUCCCCGCGCAACCCUCAGUCUGUCUCUUUGGAGGGUGGGCGAGGUGUCGGCCAGCUUGCCAGGGUCACGGAAGGGUCGCAUCGCAAUUAGACACCAGCUUCCCCCUGGCUUCCGCUCACACCUGCUUUACACCCGCUCUCUUUCUCCCCCGCUCCCCCGUGGCUCAGUUUACGCCUGGCAGGAUGGCACGGAGGCGGCUCGGAUCCACCGUGUCUGCGGCCUUGCAUCCCGGCUUGGGGCUCCUGUCCAAAUAUGACCCCCAGAAGGAGGCAGAGCUCCGCACCUGGAUCGAGGGACUCACCAGCCUCUCCAUCGGCCCCGACUUCCAGAAAGGCCUGAAGGACGGAACUAUCUUAUGCACGUGAGUACACGCAGGGACACGGGCUGUCUCACACUUAACGCAUCUUGGUUUUUUUUUUUUUUUCCUUUUUGUGGAGAACGGGGUCUCGCUAUAUUACCCAGGCAGGUCUUGAACUCCUGGGCUCAAGCUAUCCUCCCGCCUCUGCCUCCCUGAGAGCUGGGAUUACAGGCGUGAGCCACCGCGCCCGGCCGAAUCUUGGUUUUUCUCACUCUUUUCUUUUUUUAAUUAAGAAAUUUUGGGGGGGCCAGGCGCGGCAGCUCACACCUGUAAUCCCAGCACUUUGGGAGGCCGAGGCAGGUGGAUCUCGAGGUCAGGAGUUCGAGACCAGCCUGCCCAGCACGGCACAACCCUGUCUCUCCUAAAAAUACAAAAAAAAUUAGCCGGGCGUGGUGGCAUGCGCCUGUAGUCCCAGCUACUCGGGAGGCUGAGGCAGGAGAAUUGCUUGAACCCGGGAGGUGGAGGUUGUCGUGAGCUGAGAUCGUGCCAUUGCACUCCAGCCCGGGCAACAG